UUUGUGGGGAGGAAAGUCCGGACAGCUCAGAGUACCGUACUCCUCGAAAGGGAGGCUAUCCAAACGUGGAAUGACAGACAGUGCUAAAGAGAUUUAAACCGCCGAUGGCUUUUAUAGCACAGGUAAGGGUGAAAAGGUGAGGUAAGAGCUCACCAGCAGUAAAGUGAUUUGCUGGCUUUGGUAAACCUUGCGGGCUGCAAGACCAUGUAAACUAGUGUUUGAGAGCUACUCGUUCGAACUAGAGGGUAGGUCGCAUUAGAUCAAUGAUGAAGCUCCUUCGGGAGAACAGAAUCCGGCUUACAC
rnacentral:RNase_P_RNA from 1 species